rnacentral:rRNA from 1 species
UUCGCAAUGCCCGAAAGGGUGACGAAGCGACGCCGCGUGUGGGAAGAAGGCCUUCGGGUUGUAAACCACUGUCGGGAGUUAGGAAGUGUAGGGAUAUGAAUAAUGUCUUUACUUGACUAAGGCUCCGGAGGAAGCCACGGCUAACUCUGUGCCAGCAGCCGCGGUAAUACAGAGGCGGCAAGCGUUGUUCGGAAUUAUUGGGCGUAAAGAGCACGUAGGCGGCUUUGCAAGUCAGUUGUGAAAGCCUUCCUCUUAAAGGAAGAACUGCAUCUGAUACUACAAGGCUUGAGUGCGGGAGGGGAGAGUGGAACUUCUGGUGGAGCGGUGAAAUGCGUAGAUAUCAGAAGGAACGCCGGCGGCGAACGCGACUCUCUGGCCCGUAACUGACGCUGAGUGUGCGAAAGCUAGGGGAGCAAACGGGAUUAGAUACCCCGGUAGUCCUAGCCGUAAACGAUGGGCACUAAGUAGAGGGGUUUU